rnacentral:miRNA from 1 species
CUCUGCUCAGCUCCCUCGCGCGCCGCCAGCAGAGUGAGGCUGGGAGCCGGAAUAUGACGUCAUCAACCCGGCUCCCAGCCUCACUCUGCUGGCGGCGCGCGAGGGAGCUGAGCAGAGCGCUCA